CAGGCCUUACCGCCAGUAUUCACAUUUGCGAACCAGGCUGGUUUGGACAUGCUGGAGACGACGUUGGUGGCACUUCAAGAUAUCACUCUCGAGAAAAUCUUUGACAACAACGGGAAGAAGACCUUCUGCUCCGACUUCCCUCAAAUCAUGCAGCAGGUACGUUAAAUAAAGCAUUACACAAAUAGAACAUUAUUCAUACAAAAACAGGCUGAAACAUAUACUAUAUAUCAACAAUUGUAUAAUUGGGCAACGUGGAUCUCGAUGAUAAAUCAUAACUAUGGGGUCGUAAAUUAAUAAUGAUGGUUUUUCAGGGGUUUAUGUGUACUGAUGGAGGAAUAUGCAUGUCGAGCAUGGGAAGAGCAGUAACGUACGAAAAGGCUGUUGCAUGGAAAGUGUUAAACGAUGAUGAAGAUCCUCAUUGUAUCUGCUUCAUGUUCCUCAACUGGUCUUUUAUCUGAGUUUCUUAUAAUUUUGUUUUCUUGUUAAUUAUCAAAUACACAGAGACACCUUUUCUUCAGAGAUAUAUUUAUAUAUGUUCUUAACUCCUAGUUCGUUUUUAUUUUAAACAAAAGAAAAGUUCAUUUUUAUUUAGUUAUAAAAGUCAGGAAAUGAGUCAAAUCGCUAUCAUCUCUAAUUUUUGAAUUUAAACUCCAUUCCUUCGACGUUCCUGAACAAAAUUAGGAUCAUCAUUCUCUAUAGCUGAAUCAUUUUUAAAAGAAACUUAAUUUGUCAACGCAACAUUUUUAUUCUUCAAUUACUAAGUAGGACAGAGUCUGCGUGGUUGAUGGCUAUUUAUUCACGAAAGUAUUAACGAGUGCAUAUGGUAGCUCUUACUAACUAGGACCGAGUCUGCGUGGUUGAUGGCCGAAGCAAAGUCCAAAUAAGCUCAUAGCUCUUAUUAAAGGCUAAAAAGCUACUAGUAUUGAUUCGAAUCUGACUGUAUUUAAUUAAUGCCGCUGUUUCCAAUAAAAUUCUGAAGAGAUACUACUAGUACCGAUACUUUGUCACCGUGUGGUUAAUACUCUAUAUUCUCUCUCUUUUAAUUUACUACUCCGUACCUAUUACUUUGUCAUUGUGUGGUUAAUACGCAAUGGAGUAGUAGAUUUUAAAAAAAAAUCCACAUAUAUUAAAAAUUUAAUAUUUUAGCUAUAUAAAUACAAAGUGCAAGAAAUAAAUCAUUUUAUACUAAACAAUCCCACAACCGUAAACCAAUGCUAAUUUCCUCUUAUAAUUUUAAAGAUUUACAACUCUUUAUUACUAGUUAAUGAAAAAGGAAUAAAAUCUACUUUAAUAGAAACAGUGAAAAAGGUGUAGAUUAUUUUUUUUAAGAAAAGAAAGGAAUGGUGCACAAAAAAAAGAAAGGAAUAUACUUAUAGAACAUUUUUGUGUGGUUAUUAUUCUUUAGGGACAUGUUUGAAAACCAGCCGUUACGAACGUAAAAAUUAAGCUAAAUGUAAUGGAACAGGCUGUCAAGUGUCAAUAGAAAAAUGUAACGAAGAAAUUACUUGUUAGAUUACUCCUAAGUCGAAUGUAUCUUUAUUUCACCUUAAAACCACCAACUAAAUUUCUCACGGUAAAAAAAAACAAAGAGCUUUGAUAUAUUUUUAUCAUGAAAAAAUACAUAGGAAAGGUUUUACAGAUUCAUUUCCAUUUUAUUAGCCAUAUGUUUAAGACAAAAACCCACGUAGGAUUCAAGGUCUUCCUUCUUCCAACCAUCAACAGGAUCGGACACAAACGACCACUCGAUUCGACAGACUUUUCCACUGUCCGAUUCAUCUACACCGUCCACUUGCAUUACUUUGACCGUCGCCACGUAAGAUCUGAACCCCACGUUAUUCUCGAGGACCUCAUAGCUCAAACACCGUCCGAUUGGAUCAAACUCGACCAAACGCUCCUUAGCCCAUUUAGUUUCGUCGUCUUCCUUGGUUGCGGUGGAGGCGCAGUAUCGGACCAGACCCGUCUGACCAUCGGUUCCUUCGACUCGGCUACACGUAUCAACAGUUGGGAACCACUCGUGGACAUUGCAGAAAUCUGAAACGACCAACCAGGCUUGCUCCGCCGUGACGCCGUUGACUUGAGCGGCUUGUUUGCCCUCCCACUUAAACACCACCGUUUCUGGUUCCAUCUGACCAAAGACUUUGAUGAUCGGUGUUUUGUUUAGUAUAAGGUAGUUACUUCGUUGCAAUGUUAUUUGUAAAGGCGUUUGGUAGCACGAAGCUAUUUAUUCCCAAAGUCAAGCGUGGAGGGUAUUAGUUAUCAUUUUACCCUAAUCAUAAUUACAAACCAAGUACAGCCCAAUAAACCUACAAAGCCCAAAAUUAAGUCUAACCACAACGCAUGCAUGGUCCAAAUCUCUUUACGUAACCCACAAACGCAACCCAAAAUCUCCAAUUAUUCUCGUCGCUUUUCUACAUCUUUUGUUCACUAUAGAUUACUAUGAUAGUGGGACUGUUUAUAAUAAAAAAGAUUCAAUGUAACUGUUUAUAUUAUAUUGUAAUUUCUAUUUCUUUCCAAACUAAAACUUUUCAGUCCCACUAUCCGACACUGCAAAGAUACUCCACUAAUAUAGAAAUUACAAUUAUAUAGUAGCAAAACAGGGAUCCUAUAUAGUUUAGCCAUCAUUAGCUAACCGAAAGUGUACAGCAACCUUACAAAUACGAGUACUCAAAGUGAAAUUAUAAACAAGCUUUUGUUAAUUAAAAUAUAAAGGAUAAUGUUGGCCACCGGAAGUGCUGAAUAAACUCAACAUAAACUUGCGUAUUAUCCGGUGAGCAUAUGGAGUUAUGAACUCACCAAACGCUCAAAAAUCUAGAUCUACCAAGCUCUCAAAACUUGACUGAUUUUCUUUGAGCUUAGUUCCCAGAAAAGCUUGAUCACUAAAUCUGAUACACGAUCUAUAUAUUUGAAAGACAAAGCUAAAACCAGGAAAACUAAGGUUGAAGGAUUAUACUAAUACAAUUAUGAACCAACACAAACGUACCAGAAUUAGAACUAAAGAGAAGCAAGAACACAAAUUGUUUAUGAAAAUAAGAGAAUUUUAAGUAUUAUGGAAAGGGAAGUGACGGUUGACAAUAUCGUGUAUAUAAUCCUAAAAACGAUCAGAUCCGUUAGAUAAUCGUCCAUGUAGCACACAUAUUUUGAUGGUCUAAUAAAGAACUUUUGAAAUCAAUGAAAUAUAUACAUUUUCUCUCGUACCCUUAACCGUGAUAUAAAUAAAUAUAUAUCAGGUAAAUAUCUUUCAUUUCUUAGGUUAUAUGAGUAUAAGAUAUUCUUAACCCUUGCUUGAGAAGGUAUCAAACUGGAAAAUGUAAAAAGGGUUCUCUUAUUUCUUUUUUGCCCAAGCAGUAGGACCCUAAUUCAUUUUAACAUAGCCAUCAGAUUCCACAACGCCAUCGAUUGCCUAACCUUAAAAUAUAACAUUUUAUUCAGGAAAUUAAAAAGAAGGAUAAUUUGUAAUAACUAAUGAUGACAAUUUUAUGUGGAAAUUAUUAAGCACUCAUUGCUCAACAAAAUGCCUAAAUAUUUACAAUAUCUAAGCCUAAUUCUUGGUCGGAUAAUGUGGUUUUUAUAUCUCCAGCUCAUUGACACUUCUUCUAGGCAUAAUACAGGUAGUGAAAAGCCACCAAAAAGUUUAAGUUACAUGUUCAACUUUGCGUGAGGGUUUACUCAUAAGAGUCAACAAAAUCAUACUAUUCACAAUGGUUGGGGAAGAAGACCAGCGGCUCUUAGAGCACUUAGCCAAAGACUCAGCAAGUAAUUAACGUUUCUCACACUUCACCUUUAAAAACAAUUCAAAACUUGUGUUCUAUAAACUAAACCUAACUUGUUUGUUAUAUUCUCAGAGGAUUUAACGAAGCAGUCAAUGGGUUUAGCGAUGAAGGCUGGUCGAUGCUAGAGAGUGAUGGUAUAGAUGAUGUUACUCUUCUGGUGAACUCCUCUCCGACAAAGAUGAUGAUGACUUCAAGUCUCCCAUUCUCCAAUGGCUUCACUUCUAUGCCUAGUGCAGUUCUUUGUGCCAAAGCUUCAAUGUUAUUACAAGUAAUUAUAAGCUCAUAAAAUCUAAUAGUUUAGAAUCUAAAUUUCUUCUUUUUGAUCUGUCAUUAAGGAUAUUUUUGUUUGUGUAGAAUGUUCCUCCCUCGAUUCUUUUACGGUUCUUGAGGGAACAUAGGCAAGAAUGGGCAGAUAAUAGCAUUGAUGCGUAUUCAGCUUCAGCCAUCAAAGCAGGGCCUUGUAGUUUACCAAUCCCUCGCCCAGGGAGCUUUGGUGGUCAAGUCAUUCUUCCUCUAGCUCACACCAUAGAGAAUGAAGAGGUUGGUGAUAUAUUAUCAAUAUAACUAUAAAUUUGGGAAGAUAAAAAAACUUAUGCAUUUUUCUUCCCUCUGUUUUGGCAGUUCAUGGAAGUGAUUAAGCUUGAGAGCCUGGGGCAUUACCAAGAAGAUAUGAUGAUGCCUGCUGAUAUCUUUCUUCUGCAAGUAAGGCCUCAUUGUUUCAAACGUUAAUUUCUGUGUGUUAUGUUUGCGUUUACUCAUUACCAAAAAAACCACAAAAAGAUUCACAUUUUUAAGAAAAAUAAUAAUACUUGAAAUCCAAGUCUCUGCCUCUCAGUGAUUCAUAUUAAUGCAAAUAAUUGUUCUUGUGAUUCUAAUAUAAUUUUAAUGGUUUGAUGAUUUAGAUGUGCGGUGGAGUGGAUGAGAACGCAGUUGAAUCAUGCUCAGAGCUUAUCUUUGCACCAAUUGAUGCAUCUUUCUCUGAUGAUGCACCAAUCAUUCCUUCAGGCUUCCGCAUCAUUCCACUAGAUUCCAAAUCGGUAUGUUCAGUUCAUAUAAGAAGUAUAGUUAACAACAUUAUAUCAAAUCAAAUACUAAUCCAAUAAAAAAUGUUUAUAGGAGGGAUUGAGUCCUAACCGAACGCUAGACCUAGCAUCGGCUCUAGACAUAGGGAGCAGAACAGCCGGGGACUCAUGCGGGAGCAGAGGAAAUACAAAGUCAGUGAUGACAAUAGCGUUUCAGCUAGCUUUUGAGAUGCAUAUGCAAGAGAAUGUAGCCUCAAUGGCUAGACAAUAUGUGAGAAGUGUGAUCGCCUCGGUCCAACGGGUCGCUCUUGCUCUCUCUCCUUCUUCUCAUCAGCUAAGCGGAGGCCUACGUCCACCACCCGCAUCGCCGGAAGCUCACACACUCGCUCGUUGGAUUUCUCAUUCGUAUAGAUGUUACCUUGGCGUUGAACUACUUAAACCUAAUGGAAAUGAUCUUCUCAAGUCUCUUUGGCACCAUCCUGACGCCCUCAUGUGUUGUUCUCUCAAGGUCAGAUUUCUCUUUGUUCUCGUUCGCAUGCAUCACAUAACAUUAUAUUUUCCCUAAGUUUUGUAUAUAAUAAAUAAAAUUGUGAAAAUUUAAUGGAUGUUUUAGGUGCUCUUGGCAUUAUAUAACGUUGAAAUAUAUGAUUUGCGCCUAGCGAUCAAUGAUGAUACAUACAUAGCAUUGAAAAUUAUAAUUUUUUUAACGAGGAAAGUGGACUGGUUUGAUCAUUGCAGGCCUUACCGCCAGUAUUCACAUUUGCGAACCAGGCUGGUUUGGACAUGCUGGAGACGACGUUGGUGGCACUUCAAGAUAUCACUCUCGAGAAAAUCUUUGACAACAACGGGAAGAAGACCUUCUGCUCCGACUUCCCUCAAAUCAUGCAGCAGGUACGUUAAAUAAAGCAUUACACAAAUAGAACAUUAUUCAUACCAAAACAGGCUGAAACAUAUACUAUAUAUUAACAAUUGUAUAAUUGGGCAACGUGGAUCUCGAUGAUACAUCAUAACUAUGGGGUCGUAAAUUA
rnacentral:lncRNA from 1 species